rnacentral:misc_RNA from 1 species
GAAAUGCGAUAAGUAAUGUGAAUUGCAGAAUUCAGUGAAUCAUCGAAUCUUUGAACGCACCUUGCGCUCCUUGGUAUUCCUUGGAGCAUGCCUGUUUGAGUAUCAUGAAAUCUUCAAAGUAAAUCUUUUGUUAACUCAAUUGGUUUCUACUUUGGUAUUGGAGGUCUUUGCAGCUUCACACCUGCUCCUCUUUGUUCAUUAGCUGGAUCUCGGUGUUAUGCUUGGUUCCACUCGGCGUGAUAAGUUAUCUAUCGCUGAGGACACUGUAAAAGGUGGCCAAGGUAAAUGCAGAUGAACCUCUUCUAAUAGUCCAUUGACUUGGACAAUACUUUUAUGAUCUGAUCUCAAAUCAGGUAGGACUACCCGCUGAACUUAAGC